UUGAGAAUAAGGAUGGUUCAAGAGCACCUUGAAGAGGAUUUUUAAUGUUACAGAUUUUGUAUUGGCAAGUUUUGUGAUUUGAGUCGGAGUCUUGAAGGGUUCAGUUCGUGAUUGUCGAAGACUGAAGAAUUCGAGAUUCCGAGAACUUAAAAACAUCUCACCGUAUGAAUCACAAUGUUCAGGUAAGUUUUUAAAUGUCUUUAUGGUGAUUCAUAUCUAUUUAUGACGUUAAAAUCAUAUAAACUAAUGUUUAAUGGAUUAGAAGUGGUUUUUGGAACUUUUAAAUCGAAUG
rnacentral:lncRNA from 1 species